GCAGGGGCUGGGGGAGCCAGGGUUUAAUGGGGACCAAACAACAGCACCCCACUCCAGUACUCUUGCCUGGAAAAUCCCAUGGAUGGAGGGGCCUGGUAGGCUGCAGUCCAUGGGGUCGCUAAGAGUCAGACACGACUGAGCGACUUCACUUUCACUUUUCACUUUCAUGCACUGGAGAAGGAAAUGGCAACCCACUCCAGUGUUCUCGUCUGGAGAAUCCCAGGGAUGGGGGAGCCUGGUGGGUUGCUGUCUAUGGGGUCGCACAGAGUUGGACACGACUGAAGUGACUUAGCAGCAGCAGUAGCAAGCUUCACUUUGGGAAGAUGAGAAAGUUCUGCACACAAGGGUGUGAUGGUUGCAUAGUGACAUGACUGUGCUCAAUGCCACUGAAGCAGGCACAUAACAACUUUUAAAAUGGUAAAGCCUAGUUGUAUUUCCCCACAAUUUCCAUUUACAUCGAGUUCUAUCAGACGAUCAGUACGUGAGUGACUUUGCCCACCCAGCAAGUCUGGGGACAAGUCUCAGGCAGUCCCCACAUCAGAGCCUGGCUUCCCUCCCCCAGGCUUCAGGGUUCACCUCUGCUCUUUGUUAUCUCGAUGGUCCAGCUGGACUGGACAUGAGGCCAGGCUUAGGGCAUCUUCUCUCUUGGGGUCCUGGCUUUCUCCUCUGCUAUGUGGGCCUGUCCACCUUCACACAGAGCAUGGCUCCAACCCCAGUUCACGGAGCUGAUGCAGCCGAGCAGUGUCACCCAGGAGAGGCAGCACGGGGCCUACAGGACCAGCAUCAGAGGAAGCCUGGGACCAUGACCAGCCAGCUACGGGCCACGGGACCAGCCCAUUCACUGAACAUGGAAUCCUCUAAAUUGCCCCCAGGAUCAGUUGCUCCCUGGACCCUGGAGCCAGCCCGCUGCCCAGAGGGCUCAGGGUUCCAGGCAGAGGCACAGAAGGGGCCAUGACAGCCCUCUG
rnacentral:lncRNA from 1 species